GCGUUGAGUAUGAAGCUUUGUAUUUUAUCACCAAACUCGCUUUGGUUGAAAAUGGAACUUCUAAACGAAGGUAUUCUGUUUAGUAUUAAUGAUUAACUACCUAAAAACAGCCUCAAGCCAUGCGAUUUUUCUCUGUUAGCAAAAAUGAUUUCAUUCUAUUUUUUAGCUAAUAUGGGGGGGUGGGGCGAAUACAUUCAAGCAGCAUGUUAAACUGCGAUAAUGUUGUAGGUUACACUGGCAAGUAUACAAAUAUUUACCAGGGCAUAUUAUUACAUUUAUAAAUGGGAUUAUUUCACAUGGGGGAGAUGUGGGGAAACUAAAAGGCUAGUUUGCUUGCAGUUUUUAGCCAGCUAGCUAGCAAGCUGCUAGCGGAAUAGCCUACAG